UACGUAGGGUGCAAGCGUUAAUCGGAAUUACUGGGCGUAAAGCGUGCGCAGGCGGUUCUAUAAGACAGAUGUGAAAUCCCCGGGCUCAACCUGGGAACUGCAUUUGUGACUGUAGAGCUGGAGUACGGUAGAGGGGGAUGGAAUUCCGCGUGUAGCAGUGAAAUGCGUAGAUAUGCGGAGGAACACCGAUGGCGAAGGCAAUCCCCUGGACCUGUACUGACGCUCAUGCGCGAAAGCGUGGGGAGCAAACAGG
rnacentral:rRNA from 1 species